rnacentral:rRNA from 1 species
UGGGGAAUAUUGCACAAUGGGCGCAAGCCUGAUGCAGCCAUGCCGCGUGUGUGAAGAAGGCCUUCGGGUUGUAAAGCACUUUCAGCGAGGAGGAAGGUGGUGGACUUAAUACGUUCAUCAAUUGACGUUACUCGCAGAAGAAGCACCGGCUAACUCCGUGCCAGCAGCCGCGGUAAUACGGAGGGUGCAAAGCGUUAAUCGGAAUUACUGGGCGUAAAAGCGCACGCAGGCGGUUUGUUAAGUCAGAUGUGAAAUCCCCGGGCUCAACCUGGGAACUGCAUUUGAAAACUGGCAAGCUAGAGUCUCGUAGAGGGGGGUAGAAUUCCAGGUGUAGCGGUGAAAUGCGUAGAGAUCUGGAGGAAUACCGGUGGCGAAGGCGGCCCCCUGGACGAAGACUGACGCUCAGGUGCGAAAAGCGUGGGGAGCAAAACAGGAUUAGAUACCCUGGUAGUCCACNNCUAGUAAAACGAUGUUCGGAGUUUGGAGGUUGUGCCCCUUGAGGCGUGGCUUCCGGAGCUAACGCGUUAAAAUCGACCGCCUGGGGAGUACGGCCGCAAGGUUAAAAACUUAAAAUGAAAUUGACGGGGGUCAUAGCUGUCCUG